UACGAAGGGGGCUAGCGUUGCUCGGAAUUACUGGGCGUAAAGGGCGCGUAGGCGGAUACUUAAGUUAGAGGUGAAAGCCCAGGGCUCAACCCUGGAACAGCCUUUAAUACUGGGUAUCUUGAGUUCGGGAGAGGUGAGUGGAACUCCGAGUGUAGAGGUGAAAUUCGUAGAUAUUCGGAAGAACACCAGUGGCGAAGGCGGGUCUCUGGGCCGAAGUACUGACGCUGAGGAGCGAAAGCGUGGGGAGCGAACAGG
rnacentral:rRNA from 1 species